AUCUACGGCCAUGCCACCCUGAACAAGCCUGAUCCUGUCUGAUCUUGGAAGCUAAGCUGGAUUCGGGCCUGGUUAGUACUUGGAUGGGAGACCACCUAGGAAGACUAGGUGCUGUAGGUG
rnacentral:rRNA from 1 species